rnacentral:rRNA from 1 species
CAGGAGAGAAUCCUGAGGCGCUCGGAUGAAUCACGGUUAAGGAACUCGGCAAAUUAGCCCCGUAACUUCGGGAAAAGGGGCGCCAGCAGCAAUGCUGGCCGCAGAAAAAUGGCUCAGGCGACUGUUUAUCAAAAACACAGGGCUCUGCAAAAUUGCAAGAUGAAGUAUAGGGCCUGACACCUGCCCGGUGCCGGAAGGUUAAGAGGAGAGGUUAGCGCAAGCGAAGCUUUGAAUCGAAGCCCCGGUAAACGGCGGCCGUAACAAUAACGGUCCUAAGGUAGCGAAAUUCCUUGUCGGGUAAGUUCCGACCUGCACGAAUGGUGUAACGAUCUGAGCACUGUCUCAACCGUGAGUCCGGUGAAAUUGUAGUAUCGGUGAAGAUGCCGGUUACCCGCUACGGGACGGAAAGACCCCGUGAACCUUCACUAUAGCUUUACAUUGACAUUUGACAAAAGAUGUGUAGGAUAGGUGGGAGGCUUCGAAGCGGUUUCGCCAGGAAUCGUGGAGCCACCGUUGAAAUACCACCCUUCGUUUGUCGGGUGUCUAACGUCGCGGUGCGACAGACAGUGUAUGGCGGGUAGUUUGACUGGGGUGGUCGCCUCCAAAAAAGUAUCGGAGGCUUCCAAAGGUACCCUCAGCACGCUUGGUAACCGUGCGCAGAGUGCAAUGGCAUAAGGGUGCUUGACUGCGAGACCAACAAGUCGAGCAGGGACGAAAGUCGGGCAUAGUGAUCCGGCGGUUCCGUAUGGAAGGGCCGUCGCUCAAAGGAUAAAAGGUACUCCGGGGAUAACAGGCUGAUCACUCCCAAGAGCUCACAUCGACGGAGUGGUUUGGCACCUCGAUGUCGGCUCGUCACAUCCUGGGGCUGGAGAAGGUCCCAAGGGUUAGGCUGUUCGCCUAUUAAAGUGGCACGCGAGCUGGGUUCAGAACGUCGUGAGACAGUUCGGUCCCUAUCUGUAGCGGGCGUUGGAAAAUUGCGGAGAGCUGACCCUAGUACGAGAGGACCGGGUCGGACGUACCUCCGGUGUACCUGUUGUCUCGCCAGAGGCACCGCAGGGUAGCCGCGUACGGAACGGAUAAGCGCUGAAAGCAUCUAAGCGCGAAGCCGACUCCAAGAUGAGUUUUCCUUAUCAGGGCCGUGGAAGAUCACCACGUCGAUAGGCCACAGGUGUAAAGGCGGUAACGUCAAAGCCGAGUGGUACUAAUUGCCC